rnacentral:ncRNA from 1 species
CUCCGGAAGCGAUGAGAGUGCCAGGUGGGCCACUUAUGGUAAGCAGAACUGGCGCUGUGGGAUGAACCAAACGUCGGGGUAAGGCGCCGGAUGCGGGACGCUCAUGAGAUCCCAUAAAGGGUGUUGGUUGCUUAAGACAGCAGUGCGGUGGCCAUCGAAGUCGGAACCCGCUAAGAAGUGUGUAACAACUCACGUGCCGAAGCAACUAGCCCCGAAAAUGAUGGCGCUCUAGCGUCGAGCCUAUCCCCGCCCGCUGCCGGCAGAUGCACGCAAACAAGGGGGUGCUCAGCUGCAGCGAGUAGGAGGGCCGCUGCGGUGAGCGUUGAAGGUGUCAGGCGUAAGCCCGUCUGAAGCCGCCGCUGGUGCAGAUCUUUGCGGAGUAGCAAAUACUCAAGUGAGAACCUUGAGCACUGAAGUGGAGAAGGGUUUCAUGUGAACAGCAAUUGAACAUGGGUCAGUGGGUUUUAAUGGAAAGGAGAAGUUUUUUCCGAAGCGUGAGCACUUUUUUUGCAGUGCAAAGAAGAGAGCCCGCAGUGACCGAAAGAGACUGGGUUAAGUUUGCAAGUUUCCUUGCAAAAUUCUUGAACAUAUAAUUUUUUCUCACCUUGUCAACUUCUUAGAAUCUAACAACUUCUUCAACAAUGCCCAGCACGGUUUUCGAAAAUCAUUUUCAUGUG